rnacentral:rRNA from 1 species
UACGGAGGGAGCUAGCGUUGUUCGGAAUUACUGGGCGUAAAGCGCACGUAGGCGGCUAUUCAAGUCGGGGGUGAAAGCCCGGGGCUCAACCCCGGAAUUGCCCUCGAAACUAGAUAGCUAGAAUCUUGGAGAGGCGAGUGGAAUUCCGAGUGUAGAGGUGAAAUUCGUAGAUAUUCGGAAGAACACCAGUGGCGAAGGCGACUCGCUGGACAAGUAUUGACGCUGAGGUGCGAAAGCGUGGGGAGCAAACAGGG